rnacentral:sRNA from 1 species
UAACAUUCUGCUUAGGGUGGUGCAGUAUUCUAGUCAGCUUAGUCCAUUCUGAAGGCGGGGCUAAAAAUCCGCCAAAGGGCACAUCGAUGAAGUUCCUUGUGCUGGCUCGCUACGCCCAGUGGUGGGUUGGUACUGGGAGUAAGGGGGAUGGGGCGACCGCAAAGGCAUGCGUAAUCGACCCUACCCCCGCGGAGACCCUAACUUGUGGAGCCUCAAGGUUCUAUGAUUAGGGAUUAAACCUGCAUCGUGGUGGAAGCUGCGUGCAGUGUAGCCUGCCUUGAGCGAGUGUGGUGGAGGGUAGAUCAGACUCAAUGGUGAAGGGCCCUCACUAUUGGGUUAUUGCUACAGGAAACCACAUUUGCAAAAGAGGCUAGGAAUGGACGAUGCUGUUGAGGAAAACUCCUAGACUGUUCCAAAUGGAGGCAGAAGAGGGAUUGCAGUGUGGACUAAGUGGUAAUCCAGCCCCAUAUACGGCAACGAUAUGGGUUUUUGGUUAAAGGGAAACCACCAGAACGGCGACGUUCUGGUCCGAAAACGGGAAAUCCUGCUGGACCUAAGCCGCAAACUUAACCUCUUCUGUUACCACCCUAUGUACAUAAAAG